rfam:Gossypium hirsutum cultivar TM-1 chromosome 4, whole genome shotgun sequence
AUCCCAUGAUGAAGACACUUACGAAGUAACUCCUUGAAUCACUCCCAAGCCUCGUAGAAAGACUUGUCAUCCAAUUCUUGGAAAGUUGUGAUCUUGUUCCUUAACUU